GGGAGUGUGGUCUAGUGGUAUGAUUCUCGCUUUGGGUUAAUUCACAAGCAUGCGAGAGGCCCAGGGUUCAAUUCCCUGCUCUCCCC